UUUAACGAAAACGUCAAAGCCUUCGCAGUUUUGGACGAAACCUGUGCUAGAACCGAAACUGGUGCUUGGAACAGAAGAGUGAAAAUUGUGUCUGCGUCAAACUUUUCCAAAACCUCUGUCGAUCGCUUUUCGAAGCAGCUCGUGUUAUUUCUUCAACGCUUUAACUCUCCUCGAAACCAACCCCAAACUAAACCAGAAUGCCGGCAGCAGCACCCGCGGAAAAUGGGGCAGGCGUACCCAAAACCGAGCUCCAGGAGCUCCAAAUUAAACAGCAGCAGGUUGUCGAUGAGUCGCUGGACAGUACCCGACGCAUGCUGGCACUAUGUGAGGAGAGCAAGGAAGCCGGGAUUCGAACCCUGGUGGCCCUUGAUGAUCAGGGAGAGCAAUUGGACCGGAUCGAGGAGGGCAUGGACCAGAUCAAUGCCGAUAUGCGUGAAGCUGAGAAGAAUUUAAGUGGCAUGGAAAAAUGCUGCGGCAUCUGUGUCUUACCAUGCAACAAAAGUGCAUCCUUCAAAGAAGAUGACGGUACCUGGAAGGGUAAUGAUGAUGGCAAGGUGGUCAACAAUCAGCCCCAGCGAGUAAUGGACGACCGUAAUGGGUUGGGCCCACAGGCCGGUUACAUCGGAAGGAUUACGAACGAUGCCCGGGAGGAUGAGAUGGAGGAGAACAUGGGACAGGUGAACACGAUGAUCGGUAAUCUGCGAAACAUGGCGCUCGACAUGGGCUCCGAGCUGGAGAACCAGAACAGACAGAUCGACAGAAUCAAUCGCAAGGGCGCAUCAAAUGAGGACAGGAUAAAGGCGGCCAAUGAAAAAGCGCACUCGCUUCUCAAAUAAAAAGGGUACCGAGUAUAUAUAUAUGUAGCCAGUGCAUAUAUACAAUAUACACACCUAUCUAUACAUAGAUAUAUAUAUAUACAUAUACUUGUACGGUUAUCGUUAUUAUUUUACCUCCCAACCAUAUUACGGAUAUCGAACACGAACAAAGCCGCGAAAAAUGGAGAUUCCAACGCCACCAGGAUAGCAGCGGCUAACGAACGGGCUCACGAUCUGCUGAAAUAAGAUGCUUUCACCAGCAACAACAGACACACCACACGCACUCUAUGAGCGAAGGGUGGAGCAGGGAUAGUAGGCGACGUAAGCAAACAACGCAUAAGGACAGGAUGCGAUCGUAGAUCGAUCGGCAGGGUAUCUUUUCAAAGUUGCCGCCGGGAAGGACAUAGGACGAGAUAACAGUGAGGCGAAAUCCACCUACGAUUUACAACAACACCGCACCGCAAAACAGGACACAAACACUUGAAGAUGAGAGGAACAAACUUUCCGAAACGUGGACGUGGUUCGGACGGUGCUUUGCAUUUAACGCUGAGCGCUAAAAGCUGGCAGGAAUCAAACUAGGAAUGUGUCAGUCGUCGCCAUCGCGCUUGCUGAUUUAGUGUAAGAUGACGCUCUAGGCUUAAACAAUGAAAAAAGAAGAAGAAACACAUAGAGUCCGUUUGCUCAAAACGGAUGGAUCCGGGGGGAGAAAACGUAAAGGGGUCGAAUGCAUGCAAUUUUACACGAAACUCGCGAGACAGCGAAAUGCAAUACAACUUCAUCACAACACAGCGGGAAGCGUAGCGCGGAUUGAAAAUAUUACAACGAUACUCUUAGGUUUCAUUAGGUUGUGCAAGCUACUUUUGCGUUCGGCACUCUAAUUUUGACGCCUCGUCGUAAUUCUCGCAUCCGAUUCUUUCGUUCUGUGUGUGUGUGUGCCGCGCAACGGGCCGCCCCUUGCUCUGCCGUUGCCGUUUCCUUUCGCUUCCAAUGUCUAGGCUACCGGGACCAACGUAUCCUGUCCUUACGUUCGAAAUGCUUUCUCUUCUGGGACGGCUGGAUGAUCGACGAGACCUAUUUAUUACAAGUUUGUUGUUCGUUGCGUGCAAAAAAAAAACUGCAACAAAAAAAAGCUAGUUAAUCUUAAACCGAUGCCCGUUUUGUCCGGCGCAAGCGUACGCAUGCUUUCCGUAGCAGCUUUUAGUCACACAGUAGGAUAGGAUGAUACAAAUCUACUCCCCCGUUGGUUCGUCCCCCGAAUUGUGCUUGGUGGACGGCGUUUUUUGGGUUUGCAGUUUUUAGUCCCCCCCUUUGUAGCAUGUUGUAAAGGUUGGUUGAAGCGGGUUUGAUAAUCGGCCAUCCUCUUAAUGCAUUUUAAUCGUUACAGUAGCGUAAAGCCUUGCCACCGUACUAAUACUGUUAGGCGAAUAUUUUUUCCCAUCUUUUAACUCUGUUGUGGAGCUUUUGGUUUUAGGAUGAACUACGUUCGAGUGGUUUCCUUUUCUUCCCACCGAGACAGCAAAGCAUUUAGCAGAGCAUCAAUGGGGAACACCAGUCGAGAUGUGUAGCUAAUCAUCAUAUCACUGGGUGUGUGCUGGAUUGAACCAAAGUAAAGGACAGAUUCCCCAUUUUUUGUGAUGUGACUGUGUGCUGCCAGUGCAGAGGAAAUGUGUUGUGUGCAUUGUGCUUUUGUCCUGCCUGGCAUGGGUUGGACAGGGUUGGAAGAGUUCGGCCCCGGGUGCUAGUAACACUCGGUGUCGCUUUGAGCUUUGUUUCUCGGUCAAAUGGCCCGGACACUAGGAGGACAUUGAGUGUCAAACACUUUUUACAUUCAUCACCAGUAUAUGCUUCAGAAAUAGUGUCGUUACCAUAGUGCCAGUACAGCAUUAAUUCCGGCAAGAAGUUGCUUGCUCGCACCGGCUUUCGUUUCGCACCGGAUUGCGGGACGGAACGUGGACGCGCAGCAGGUGUUUGGCAAUGAGCGUGAAUAUGCAUUGAUUUGGCUCUUUUCAAAUUCGACCUAAUAGUGUAUGGUAGUGUUAUUUUAAAAGUUCUCACUGUAUACCAGCAUAUUUGACUAUUCCCUAGACGUUGGUUAUAGAUGGCCACCAUUGAAUCAUCGUUCAAUCUUGCAAAACCGUAGGUCCAGCACACGGCGGGUACUAGUUGAACUAGCAGGCCACAGAUUUAGCGUCAAAAUAAUCUCAAUUGUAUCUAGCUGACUCGAGCGCUUCUUACCGAUGGUGGAAUCGGUUUACCUACCGACUCGACCUAUGGGAACGCAACAAAAAUUGAUUUUCUUUUCCCCACUGGGUUCAUAAUUUGCAAGCAAUUUUUAUCUCAACGUAAGCUUCAAUCUCAAACAAUUCAAAAACACACGCACACACACACCAUUAAACUCAUGUGUGUGGAGCUGCGAAAAAGGGACGUACAGAAUACCCAUAGCCACCAAAAAAGAAGCAACAAACAAAAAAAAAACCACGUCGGGGGAAUAAUAGGCAAAUGAGCAAAAAGGGUAAAAUUACAACAACAAAAAAUUAAAAAAAAAAGCAAAAAGGCGUACUUUAAUAAUAAAUAUAAAUAUACAAAACUUAUACAUUAUUAAUGAUACAAUUAUUUACUUAGCAAAACGUGAGAGAGCGAGUAAAUGUGCAGUAUUGUGGGGGGGCGCGUUUAUAUCAUAUCAAGCAAGCAGGACGUGACGAACCCAGGCGACACAGACAGACAGACGGACGGACAGACAUUCUCACACAAUGAAAUAAGGAGAGCAAGGGGCGAAGCGGAUAAAUUAAAAACGUAGCAAAACUAAACACCGAAGUGAAUUGUAUCGCAAAGCAAAAGUUUAUAGUAAGACAGCAACGGGAAGCAUUGUGUGCAGCAUAACGGCAGCGUGUGUUAAGGCAUAGGGAUGCGAAUUGUCCAUUUGCAAAUGGCAAGUGUAAAACCAUUGUGGCAAAAACUUCACACAAAACUGAUGAUAAAAGAUUGCAAUAUUAGUGUGGUAUCGUACCGAUCCGGAAGCGAACGAGCAAAAAGCACUUAAACUCGACUCACUAAACGAGGAACGACAACCAAACAAACAAAAAGCAUUAAUCCAAGGCUAUAUAUAUAUACACACAUAUAUAGAAAAGUCCAGUUGCAAUGAACAAACAAAAACAAGCAAGAAACUUUAUCAUAUAAAUAUAUACCGAAAUAUACUGGACUGGUGAGUAGGCAGCAGGAGAACAGACAGCAACAGGACAUGGAACAGACGAUUUAAAAAAAAACUGACACGAGGAGACGUUCAAGUAUAUACACUCAUUAUUAUGUUUGAACAAAAUGACCGUUGAUUGAAUAGAUUCAUCAGCAAUAAUAAACAAUUGUGAUAAUACAAUACAUACACGAGGCGCGGAACUGUGGAAAAAAAAAACACACAUUACAUACACGGGGUUUGAAGGGCGAAUGUGUGCCAGCGAGGAUGUGAUGAUGGUGGGUGGCAGGCAGGAAUUAUGAAGCAAUCGAAAGAGAGUAGCAGCAGGAAACAAAAGGACAGCAACAAUUGACACAAAAAAAAUGAAGCGCGAAAGAAGGAGUAGCAUGUGUGGGAAAACUACAGAAUGGAAUGGAAAACUGAAGAAUCGGCUCAGUUUUAAUCUUACGCACGUACAGUGUGUCGGAGCAAUAGAAAAACAAAAUGGUUUUUCGAUUACACUCACAGUUCGACUCACAAUCGAAAUCACUCCAAUCGUUAGUACAUCUAAACUGCAGAACAGCACUUUAAACAGGCCGUUACUCUUCCACAUGAGCUCCGGCCGCAAUUUCGGGCGGCCCUCUCACACCCCGUUUUGAAGCAAAUCACACUUCCACCAUACAGCACCAUUUCUUCCUGUCUGUGCGGCAAACACGAACAAGGACAUUCUUCAAUCUUCCAUCCAUUCCGCGGCAGCAUUGUUGGACGGGGUGCUGCUUCCGGACAGGUACGCGCACACCCUGAUUGCCUGUUAGUUGAUCCUAUUUGUUGAAGUAUGAAGCCGUUGUUCAUAGGACGAGUCGUACACGAUCGUGCGUACGAAGUGCAAGCAAUUAUUGCUAGAUAAAUGUUAAGAAAUUCUCUGUGAACCGGUAGGAAAAAAUCGCGCAAUGAUGGUGGGAACUGGGAAGGGUACUAACAGGAGAGUGUGGCACAACAAACAAACAAGCAAAACCUUACAGAAACACAACACAACUAGAACAGCAGCAGUUACAGCAUUUAGCCCUCUCUCUCUCUCUCUUUCUCUCUCUUACUACCUUAGCGCGAUUGAUGUACUCCUGCACCACGUGUGGGACCGUGGUGUUGGGAUAGGUAAUCGUAAUCGUAAAACACUCAUAACCCAUCUCUUGUUGUCUUUAAAAAAAAAAGCAAAAGCUCUACGUGUGUGUGUAUAAACAAACAAACAAAAAACCCAAGUCAAAACGCGAGACAAAAAAAAGAACUCCAAAACUAUUGCCAUUUAUUCCGAGUGUAAUAGGUAAUGUCACCUAGUCACAGUCGCUAAGCUGCUAACUAGCAACAUUUAUUAGCAAACAGGAAACCAGUAGCUUAGUAAACGCUUAACGUUUCUCUCGGUGAGUUUCCUAUUGGAUUGGUUGUGUUUUUUUGGUUUAACGCAUCCUUACAACUACCACUGCUACGUCCCAUCUGCUUUGGGGCCUCUUUUUUAUUCGCGCCUCCACCCCACAAAGGAAAACAUUUCAGCUACAAAAAAAAAAGGAAAGAUGUGCUAAGGAAUGGAUAAGCAGCAGGAUGAGAAAGGUUGCGCAUAUUGGGAGGGCGAGAAAAAAGAAACAAACGUUUACGAAAUGUUAUCUAGUUAAGUUUGGCUACAAACAAACAAAAAAUUACUCUUAGCGUAAAUGAAUUCGAAACUUUGUAAAUAGAUUAUAAAUAUUAUAUACACACACACACGCAAACAGACACAUGAACACAAACACCGAUACAUGCAUGCCUACAUUACGGCGCACUGUGCAGGGCAAGGUGCGCACGUGUUACUCUGGUGGUUGUCAGGCGCAACUCAGCAUGCAACUAUGAAACGAAACCGAACCUGUUGAACAUUGCGUAAUGUAAUUGCAUACUAGGGGAGCAUACUGUGCGGAUUAAGUUUUUAAACUCUCUACCUGCGACAAGACAAUUGUUUUGCAAUGUAUGGUCCUAUGGCAAGAUCAGCUGUGUGGCGCCUUUCCAUUAGCAGUUGCAACUGUGUCUGCGCACGCUGCUUCCGGUUCCGGAAUAAUAGCAGCUCGAAGCCACAGCACCAAGAAGCUAGUAAUGCAAAGGAACGGUGGCUACCACCUUACCCGAAACAUCCCGUGAGAGGAACACAAAAUUGUACGGCCAAAAAGACACAACACAAACCCAAAUGACACACAUCACACACUACAAGUACUUCCUGCACACGAAUGAUGCACACUACGUUGGAUGGUUGCAUGUAAAACUGUUUGUUAUUUGAUUUUAAAAUUUAAAGUUUUUCCGGCCUAGUUUAACACCGCCAUCACACCGACUUUACGCGUGGUCUAUGGUGGUAAGCGAUUAUUUAUUGCUUUUGCAGAUAUUUAUCCAUCCGCUCAUUGACGUCGUGCUGCGAGAGAGAGAUUGGAAAUUGUUGAAGGGUGCGUGUGUUGACGUGUCCUUACCGAAUAGGCGGUAAAGGACCGCCCGACAGAGGAAGGGUUAGGGCGUGAAUCGUGUGUGCGAUGACAAUUGAGUGACAAAACUGUUUGUACAUACAUACAUACAUACAUACAUACAUACACGCAUGUACACCCUAAAUUCGUCAUCCUGACAUGUAUUGUUCGGCUAAGUUAAUUUGUGACUGCACCGGAAGCGACAUCUCAAGCUUGCACUCAACACCACCGUGUCCCUUCCGGAUAAAGGCGGUUCGCACACGCAUAUAUACAUACACAUGUGUUUAAAAAAUCAAUUUCGAUUCGCUUCACAUACACACACACACACCACUCUACUCACUCACACAUUGACAAUGCAAUGCAUUUACUUGAUAAGGGAACGGUUCAGCAGAAGGUAGAAAGGAUGAGCGCGUGAGGCAGGAAACAGCUAACAGGUAUUGAGCAAGAACAAAAGCUUUUUUGGUACAUUUCGUAUAAAAGGUAAAACAAAACAUUUCCCCCCCCCCCCCCCCUCUCCGCCCUCCACCAAAUAACAGACACUAAUUCAAAAUUAAACUAAUCCAACACAAGACAAAAGCAAACAAAAAAAACAUGCGUAUAAAACUAGCUGCAGAUUAAUUGAAACUGUAUUACGGUUAAUACUUUUUAAAAAUGUAUUUCAAGUAUCCUGUAAAAAUAAAAUGAUUAUAAUGGACCUAAA